rnacentral:rRNA from 1 species
GACGAACGCUGGCGGCGUGCUUAACACAUGCAAGUCGAACGGAAAGGCCCUGCUUUUGUUGGGUGCUCGAUUGGCGAACGGGUGAGUAACACGUGAGUAACCUGCCCUUGACUUUGGGAUAACUUCAGGAAACUGGGGCUAAUACCGGAUAGGAGCUCCUGCUGCAUGGUGGGGGUUAGAAAGUUUCGGCGGUUGGGGAUGGACUCGCGGCUUAUCAGCUUGUUGGUGUGGUAGUGGCUUACCAAGGCUUUGACGGGUAGCCGGCCUGAGAGGGUGACCGGCGACAUGGGGACUGAGGGACGGCCCAGACUCCUACGGGAGGCAGCAGGGGGGAACAUUGCACAAUGGGCGGAAGCCUGAGGCAGCAACGCCGCGUGCGGGAUGACGGCCUUCGGGGUGUAAACCGCUUUCGCCGGUGACGAAGCGUGAGUGACGGUAAUGGGUAAAGAAGCACCGGCUAACUACGUG